UCAAGCUAUAAAGAGCGCAAGGGGAAUGCCUUGGCAUCAGGAGCCGAAGAAGGACGUGACAAGCUGCGAUAAGCCACGGGGAGGAGCAAAUAUCCGCUAUAUCCGUGGAUUUCCGAAUGGGGGAACCCGCUUGAGCAAUACUCAGGCAUCGUGCAUUGAAUCAAAUAGGUGUACGAGGGGAACGGUCUGAACUGAAACAUCUAAGUAGGACCAGGAAAAGACAUCAACCGAGAUUCCGCAAGUAGUGGCGAGCGAACGCGGAGGAGGCCAAACCGGAGGAUUUAUUCUCCGGGGUUGCGGACAGACAUCACGAUCAGAGGAAGCUAGGAGAACGGCAUGGGAAGGCCGGCUAGAAAGGGUGAGAGCCCCGUAUCCGAAAGCAGGAGCUGACAGUCUGGAUCCAGAGUACCGCGGGACACGUGAAACCCCGUGGGAAACCGGGUGGACCACCAUCCAAGCCUAAAUACUACCUGAUGACCGAUAGAGGAGCAGUACCGUGAGGGAAAGGUGAAAAGGACCCCGGGAGGGGAGUGAAAGAGAACCUGAAACCUUGUGCUUACAAGCAGUCAAAGCACGUUAAGGUGUGAUGACGUACUUUUUGUAGAACGGUCCGGCGAGUUAUAGUAACGAGCAAGCUUAAGGUAUUCAGUACCGAAGGCGCAGCGAGAGCGAGUCUGAAUAGGGCGUAUAAAGUUCGUUGCCAUAGACCCGAAACCGGGUGACCUAUCCAUGAGCAGGCUGAAGUGGAGGUAAAACUCCAUGGAGGGCCGAACCGACCCCCGUUGCAAUGGUGGCGGAUGACUUGUGGAUAGCGGAGAAAUUCCAAUCGAACUCGGAGAUAGCUGGUUCUCCCCGAAAUAGCUUUAGGGCUAGCGUUAUCUUAGUUUACCGGAGGUAAAGCACUGAAUGGGCUAGGGGCCGAUAAGGUUACUGAACCCUAUCAAACUCUGAAUGCCGGAUAAAUGAUGGAUAGCAGUCAGACAGUGUGAGAUAAGUUUCAUUGUCAAAAGGGAAACAGCCCAGACCCACAGCUAAGGUCCCUAAUGUGCGCUAAGUGGAAAACGAUGUGGAGUUGCGAAAACAACCAGGAUGUUGGCUUAGAAGCAGCCACUCAUUAAAAGAGUGCGUAAUAGCUCACUGGUCGAGUGACUCUGCGCGGAAAAUAUAACGGGGCUAAGCACACAACCGAAGCUUGGGAUUGUCAAAAGACAGUGGUAGGGGAGCGUCGAAUACGGGGUGAAGUCGUAUCGGAAGGAACGGUGGACUGUAUUCGAGUGAGAAUGCCGGAAUGAGUAGCGAGAAUUAUGUGGGAAUCAUAAUGGCCGAAAAUCUAAGGUUUCUUGGGGAAGGUUCGUCCGCCCAAGGUAAGUCGGGAGCUAAGGCGAGGCCGAGAGGCGUAGUCGAUGCACAUACGGUAGAAAUUCCGUAACCACCGAAACUUAAGUUAGAGGGACACUUCGAGAUAGCGGAACCGCGGCGUUGGUAGACCGCGGCGAAAGGGACUGAAAUAUAGUAGGGAAGUCCGCGAUGCUCGGAGGCGAGAAAAGCUCUAAGGAAUGCUAAGGUGCCCGUACCGCAAACCGACACAGGUAGAUGAGGAGAGAAUCCUAAGGCCAACGGGAGAAGGGUUGUCAAGGAACUCGGCAAGUUGACCCCGUAACUUCGGAAGAAGGGGAGCCUCGAAAGAGGCCGCAGUGAAUAGGCCCAGGCAACUGUUUACCAAAAACACAGGUCUAUGCUAAAUCGAAAGAUGACGUAUAUGGGCUGACGCCUGCCCGGUGCCGGAAGGUUAAGAGGAGAUGUCAGGCAACGAAGCAUCGAAUUGAAGCCCCGGUAAACGGCGGCCGUAACUAUAACGGUCCUAAGGUAGCGAAAUUCCUUGUCAGGUAAGUUCUGACCCGCACGAAUGG
rnacentral:rRNA from 1 species